rnacentral:sRNA from 12 species
AGGACGGUGCGGAGUUUUUGCCGUUUCCUCCGUUUAAGGUCCGCCGAAGGAGAACGGCGACAGGCGGCCACGAACU